AGUGAACGCUGGCGGUAGGCCUAACACAUGCAAGUCGAACGGCAGCACAGUAAGAGCUUGCUCUUACGGGUGGCGAGUGGCGGACGGGUGAGGAAUACAUCGGAAUCUACUUUUUCGUGGGGGAUAACGUAGGGAAACUUACGCUAAUACCGCAUACGACCUACGGGUGAAAGCAGGGGAUCUUCGGACCUUGCGCGAUUGAAUGAGCCGAUGUCGGAUUAGCUAGUUGGCGGGGUAAAGGCCCACCAAGGCGACGAUCCGUAGCUGGUCUGAGAGGAUGAGAAGAGAAAGGGGGAAGGAGACACGGACCAGACGAGUACGGGAGGCAGCAGGGGGGAAGGGUGGACAAGGGGUGAGAGUAUUAUACAGCAAUGGCGCGUGAAGGAUGAAGGCCUUCGGUUGGUCAAAUGCUGUUGGAAGGAACGAAAAGAAUCUUCCGAAUAAAGAGGGGUAAUGAAGGGACAGAAAGAAGAAGCACACGAUAAUUACGUG
rnacentral:rRNA from 1 species